AUUGAACGCUGGCGGCAUGCCUAACACAUGCAAGUCGAACGAGUGGCGGACGGGUGAGCAAUGUCUGGGAAACUGCCCGAUGUACGUGGAUAACUACUGGAACCGGUAGCUAAUAUCGCGUACCAUCGGAUGUCCCCAGUUGGGAUUAGCUGUUAGGUGGGGUAACGGAUCACCUAGGCGACGAUCCCCAGCUGGUCUGAGAGGAUGACCAGCCACACUGGAACGGAGACACGGUCCAGACCCCUACGGGAGGAAGAAGUGGGGAAUAUUGGACAAUGGGCGCAAGCCUGAUGCAGCCAUGCGGGGUGUAGGAAGAAGGCCUUCGGGUUGUAAAGCACUUUAAGUUGGGAGGCGUUACCAACAGAAUAAGCACCGGCUAACUUCGUGCCAGCAGCCGCGGUAAUUC
rnacentral:rRNA from 1 species